rnacentral:rRNA from 1 species
GCUUAAUACAUGCAAGUCGAGGGGCAGCACGGACUUCGGUCUGGUGGCGACCGGCAAACGGGUGCGGAACACGUACGCAACCUUCCCAAAACUGGUGAAUAGCCUUCCGAAAGGGAGAUUAAUACACCGUAACUUAAUGAUGUGGCAUCACAUUAUUAAUAUAGCUCCGGCGGUUUUGGAUGGGCGUGCGCCUGAUUAGGUAGUUGGUGAGGUAACGGCUCACCAAGCCUGCGAUCAGUAACUGGUGUGAGAGCACGACCAGUCACACGGGCACUGAGACACGGGCCCGACUCCUACGGGAGGCAGCAGUAAGGAAUAUUGGUCAAUGGACGCAAGUCUGAACCAGCCAUGCCGCGUGAAGGGUUAAGGCCCUCUGGGUUGUAAACUUCUUUUAUAGGGGACGAAAAAAGAGAAUUCUUUCUCACUUGACGGUACCCUAGGAAUAAGCACCGGCUAACUCCGUGCCAGCAGCCGCGGUAAUACGGAGGGUGCAAG